ACACAUGUGGAUGACCGCCCGUCAAGUAACCAGUCCACACCGGUCUGCUGUUGGGGGAGGGAAGGGGAAAGAGUAGAUAAAUGGCCUACAUGAUUGAUUUCAACUAAGACCAAAAUCUUGGAGGACAAUUAUUGGAUUUACUCACUGUUUGUUUUUGCAACAUUUCGGAAAUUGGCAAAAGAAAAAAAAAGUUUACAAAGCUGAAGAGGCGUGUGGCAGCUAAGAAGUUGAUUUUCUUGCAAAGCCAUCUAAAUAUUCCUGAGCCACCAUGGAACUUCUGUCAGGCUCUUCAGUUCACUAUCUAAAACACCCACAGAAAAUCAGCCCUGUUAUUCAAGGAGGGGAAAUCCAUGAGACAACUGUAUACACGGAGUGUUUGUGGAUACUUUGUGUUUUAUCAUGACCAACUUCAAUUUAUUGUCUUAGUUCUGAUGAAUAAAAUCUUAUUCAUUGCCUUAAAGAGAA